GACAGAGGGUGCAACCGUUGUUCGGAUUUACUGGGCGUAAAGCGCGUGUAGGCGGCUUCGCAAGUUGGAUGUGAAAUCCCACGGCUCAACCGUGGACGUGCAUCCAAAACUGCGUCGCUGGAGUCUCGGAGAGGAAGGUGGAAUGCUUGGUGUAGAGGUGAAAUUCGUAGAUAUCAAGCAGAACACCUGCGGCGAAGGCGGCCUUCUGGACGAUGACUGACGCUGAGACGCGAAAGCGUGGGGAGCAAACAGG
rnacentral:rRNA from 1 species